AAACUUUUGCCUUCUUUGCUUUAUAUAAAUCAUUAUAAUUGGUCAAAGAAAACAGGGAGUAACCCUAUGAUAACACCCUAGCGAAGACCGCUAGAUAAUUGGCGAUUCUAAUUAGAUUUAUGACGUGGCGAAAAACAAUUGGCUAUCAUACAAACAAAACCCGCUUACAUUUUUCGCAAAGUGGAAGACAACUCUGCCCACACCUUGGAGUAAAUCUGACAAAUUAAUCAGUUGUCAGCGUCUUCCCGCCGCAACCUCCCUGGCGUACCCUUGCCCCGCAUGCCCGAUAAGCCGACCGCCGGCCCGUAUAUGUAUAUCUGCAGAAUAACUGAACGACGAUCUCUAAGCUGUAACUAACUAUCUCUGACCUCCGUCUUACACCACCUUGACGCUUGUGUGCGUCAAGGCAACCAUCUCAAUGGAACUAAAUCAGCGCGGACUACUGGACUUCUUUAGUCUCAGCUACAUGAAGCUUGAGGAUUCAGGAAUGAAGAAGAGCCUGGAUCCAAGUCUUUCAAGACACCACAUCCCCACCCUGGAUGCAGCCAAUGUCAUCCUGAGGAUAUCACCAUGUCAAGGGAUCUUGCAUGGAUGAAAAAUAGUUAUUUCAAACUAAAUUCAAGCAAAAACAAAAUUCUGCUGGACAUACAUGGGAAACAUUAUGAAGUACUAGCAGAGUUACAUCCCUCCUUUCCAUUAUACAACUUAAUUACUAUAUUUUUUGGAGCACGUAUUGCUUUAUUUUUGGCUUGGAUGGUGUAUUUUGUAGUAAUACCAGAACUCAUUGAAUGUGGAGAGCAUUCUAACCCUGUGAUCAAAAUAUAUUUAAGGAAUCCACAAAAGCAGUGACGAUCCUUCAGUUCUUGAGGUGUUGUCCUCAAGUAGCUGUUUAUAGUUUGGGUGGGCUCUAGAGUUAGAUGAUAACAGUUUUUAAUUAAUAUUACAACAUCAUAACCACCAUUCCAGGCCAGACCAGAAGUCCUCAUAACCCAGAAAAAAGGGGUCGCCCAAACCCAUCUUUUCUUUGACAGUGGUAAAUAGGGCAGACUUUAGAGGAAGUAUGUAAAAAAUGUGGCCUAGCUGGAGUGAUCCACCCCCUGUCAUACCCUCCUAUGUACCAGCAGUUAUAGCUUUAGCAAUUUCCUGCCUGUUAUAUUUAACAGGUGCUGAUGGAUCUACCUUACACAAGUUUAUCUAAUACCUUUUGGGACCCAGUUCUACUAUUGAACUUCCUGAGGUAAUGAGGAAAUUGUUAGAUGUACUAUGCAAGCAAUAGCAUGAAAAUGCUGUCUUCAAUUUGAAAUGUUAGAGUUCCCAACAGGUCACUAUAUAACAGGCCGUAAUGUUACUUGGAUGCACUUACAUAAGUUCUCCAAAGAAGGAAGGGUUUUGGAAAACUUCACUAUAUGCACCAUUUCUGUUUUGUUUAGUGAAGGAACAUUAUAUUGCUUGGCAUGCAUGACUAACAUGAUCAAAAAUGCAAAUAAAAGAAUAGCAGACUCUAUGGAGGCAUCAUAAUAU